CCUCUCUAUAUUGGCAUUCACCACCCUGCCUCUUCUCUCGCUCUGCCUAGGCUUCUCUACAUCUUCUCUCGCUUAUUUCUUUUAAUUUUCUCUUUCUUUCUUUCUCUCCCUCCCUAUAUUCUGUAUUCCAUCGGGAGAGAAAGGGAGAGGCAAAGAGAUUAGUAUUGCUUAUUUGCAGGAGAUAUAUUUUAUCCAAGAACAGAGGGAAAAAAGAAGGAAGUAGAAAUAAAAACAAAAAGAUGGCAGUUCCAAGGAUUUCACUGGGCUUUUUUGCUAUCAUUGCUAUCAUUUGCACCAUUAUUUCGCCGGUGGCUCAGGCGCAAUCCACCGCUCCCGCUCCCGCGCCCACAAGCGAUGGCGCCGCCGUUGACCAAGGAAUUGCAUAUAUUCUAAUGUUGGUGGCUUUGGUGCUCACAUACCUUAUUCACUAAUUCGCCAGCACGUUGCCAUAAUCGGUCACAUUUUGCUAAAUAUUUUUUUUCCCUGGUUUAAAUGUCGAUGAUGAGGAACAACACAAAAGCAGCAGCGAGAAUAUUAAGUCGAUGGCAAUGGUGUGCAGCGUAGUUAGGCACAAGUUAUGGGGGAGAAUAAUUUGGAGGAAUGGAGGAGAUUUCAUUUCAUGUAUGUUUGAAGAUUAAAUUUUGUGUAAUGAUAUUCUCCACUCGGAUCGUGGCUGUCAUUUCCUAUAGCAUGUGUUGUCUUUUCACCUAUUCUCUUUGAGGUUAAUUUACUUUGUCCA